GACGAACGCUGGCGGCGUGCUUAACACAUGCAAGUCGAACGGUAAGGCCCUUUCGGGGGUACACGAGUGGCGAACGGGUGAGUAACACGUGGGUGACCUGCCUCAAGCUCUGGGUUAAGCCUGGGAAACUGGGUCUACUACCGGAUAUGACUUCAUGCUGCAUGGUGGGGGGUGGAAAGUUUUUUCGGCUUGGGAUGGGCCCGCGGCCUAUCAGCUUGUUGGUGGGGUGAUGGCCUACCAAGGCGUCGACGGGUAGCCGGCCUGAGAGGGCGUCCGGCCACACUGGGACUGAGACACGGCCCAGACUCCUACGGGAGGCAGCAGUGGGGAAUAUUGCGCAAUGGGCGGAAGCCUGACGCAGCGACGCCGCGUGGGGGAUGACGGCCUUCGGGUUGUAAACCUCUUUCGACCUCGACGAAGCUUUUCGGAGUGACGGUAGGGGUGGAAGAAGCACCGGCCAACUACGUGCCAGCAGCCGCCGCAGUAA
rnacentral:rRNA from 1 species